GUGGGGACUUGUAAUCUCUGUACCAUAUGCGUUUGAAUAAAUGGAUUGACUUUUUCCUCUUCCUCACCAGACUGGUUGUGCUAACCUCUGAGGCCUCGUUGGCAUGAACCUAACCCGGAAAACACACUGGGCAACUCUCUAGGAGAGUAAGUAACACAAAAUCAGGGCUAUGGAGAGAAGAGUUUGGUAUAAAUGCUUUAUUAAAUAAAUAAUGUUUUUUCCCCCUUAUUAAAAAAUACUACAUUAGAGAAGAGUUUUGGAUUUACCAGUCUUUCCUCGCAGAAUCACAGUGUAAAAUAACCAUUUCUUGAACUCUCUAGGAAGCUUCAACACACAAGAGAAAAGAAGCCUUAAGUUGAGCAGUGGCCUUCAUCGGUCAGCGGUCUCAGGUUCUGCCUGCCUUUAAGACUGGGACUGAGAAAGACAGUGAGAGGCCACCCACUGUCCUCUCAGAGGGUGACCAGAGCUGACUCAGGGUGAGAGCCAGGACUCGAUCACAGAGGCGCUAAAGCAGGGAUGCAGUGAGAUGUGAAUAAACAGUUUUUAUUACUUGUACUCAAUGAUCAUGAAAUGCCCUUCAUUGGGUACCAUCAGAUGAGGUAGGGAAGACAUUUCAGAGGAAAUUUGUUAAUGGGGCAACAUUUUUAUUUCUGUACAUUUACAUACAAAUCUUCCCCCAGGGUACAACAGAUGUGACAUCAUGCAGACAUGUAGCUAUGUAGCUUUGCACGACAGUUCAGAACUCGGUUGAGGCUUUGUGCUAUGAAUGACCUCCAAAAUAAUCCCAGUCAACAUAUACAGUAACACGGCUCUUACACAGAAUCCUAAAAUGCCAGGGUUGCAGAAAGGACGGAGGGAGGGAAGUGUUCCCCACUAGACAGAACACACUGUACUGCUUUUCCAAAACACACAAAUACAUCAAAGUGAGGUGUCCUUAUAUAGAGGGCGUGGAAGUGGGGGGCCUUUCGGGCAUGCGUGCGCCACCUAGGGGGCUGGGUGAUGCCAUGGUCACAUAACUGGUUUAAUGGCACUUGAGUCAUUUGUUUGGCUCUGGGAAGUAGUAAUGAAGUAGUGCAGUACUUCCUUGACGAGGUUUAGUUUUGCUUGCUUUCCAUUCUGUGGCCAAACCAACUUGCCAGCCCCUUUCCUCUCAUUGCAAGCUAUUAUUCUCUUUUUAAAAAAUAAAAUAUUUUAAACUUUA